AUUAUCUUUCUGCUGUUGGACCUCGACGCGCGCCGCGCACUGGGAAACAGAGCGCGCAAGAGCAACCGCUGUCCCCGGAGAACAUUUUGCCAGAAGCGCUGUGGAACAUCCAAGGGACUAUUUUGCGAACUUCAGACGUGCAGCAAUGUUUUUUUUUGGACAGCAGUGGCUUCUUCCGUGGUGUCCUCCCAUGAACACCAUUCUUGUUUAGUGUUUUACAUAUCGUAGACUCAUCAACAGAGAUGUUAGCAUGUUCCAGAGAUUUCUGUAAGUCUUUAGCUGACACUCCAGGAUUCUUCUUAACCUCAUUGAGCAUUCUGCACUGUGCUCUUGCAGUCAUCUUUGCAGGACAGCCACUCCUAAGGAGCGUAGCAACAGUGCUGAACUUUCUCCAUUUAUAGACAAUGUGUCUUACCGUGGACUGAUGAACAUUAAGGCUUUUAGAGAUACUUUUGUAACCCUUUCCAGGUUUAUGCAAGUCAACAAUUUUUAAUCUCAGGUCUUCUGAAAUCUCUUUUGUUCGAGGCAUGGUUCACAUCAGGCAAUGCUUCUUGUGAAUAGCAAACUCAAAUUUUGUGAGUGUUUUUAUAGGGCAGGACAGCUCUAACCAACAUCUUCAAUCUCGUCUCAUUGAUUGGACUCCAGGUUAGCUGACUCCUGACUCCAAUUAGCUUUUGGAGAAGUCAUUAGCCUAGGGGAUCACAUACUUUUUCCAACCUACACUGUGAAUAUUGAAAUUAUCUAUUCAAUACAGACAAGAAAAAAUACAAUAAUUUGUAUUUUAUUAGUUUAAGCACACUGUGUUUGUCUAUUGUUGUGACUUAGAUGAAGAUCAGAUCAAAUUUUAUGACUAAUUCAUGCAGAAAUCCAGGUCAUUCCAAAGGGUUCACAUACUUUUUUCUUGCCAGUGUAUAAUAUGAAUUGUAAUUAGUACCAUAUCAUACGAAAUGGGUGAUGAACAACCACAAAUGAAUACAUACCAUACGAAACUUAACAUAUCAUGCUAAAUGGAGUGUCUUGGAUUUACGUACAGAAUAAUACGAAAUGCUUUGAGACCCGGUUAGAGCCAUCCAAUGGCAGCUUUCUUUAUAUAAUAUCACAAUACACCUCAAGUGCCCUCUGGGUGCUCUCUGAAGUGGCUCUUGAGUGCCAAAGAGUUAGGAGGAAACUUUUCAGGAGAUCAAAAGGGUUGAAUGACAUUCUGAUCCCUCAAAAGGUGCAGGUGGAAUGGUGACACUAAAGAUGUCGGUUUUGGUACCUGAAAUACAGUAUAUCAUGCUUUCAUGCCUGGUAGCACGCAUCAUGGUCAACCUGAGCCUUGUCCUUGGCAUGCAUUACAAAGUACAGUUUAUUCUUCAUUGAAAUCAAAGUUGAAUUUUAGUUCCCGAUGCAAAACUUUUUCCCCCCUCAGUGUCAAAGAAGACAUUUGUGUUUCUAGUUUUCUCACCAACUGUGAAGUUUAUUUUUGCAGGGAGGUAAUGACCCUAAUUGAAGGCACUAACAUUUUCGAAAUGUGAGGCAGUAAGUUAGGGGGACAGAGACUUCAGUAAUACUCCAGCACAGUCACUCAUUAUUGGGGCAUGAGGAAAUGGGAAAGCGGGGAGGGGGAAUUCUCGCUAUGGGUGUUACAGAUUUUUUUCAUGUUUUGGUCUAGAUUAUUUAAAUCAUUGCAUAGCCUAUUUUCAUAGCUGAGGUUAAAUAAUAGUAAUUAAAGAUAUGCUCCGGUACUCUGGGCUGGAUGUGUCAAUGUGUAGUUCAUACAUGCAUAAUCUAUUACCUCAAGUAGCCAGUUUGAAAGCUACUGUUUUCUGGAAGCUGUGUGAUGGCAUUUCCCAUACAUUUACCGUCACGUGAGCCAGCCCCUAGCAAUCAAGUUUCAGCCAAUGAGCUUCAACCCCUCGCCAUUUGAGUGACAGCCAGCAAGACGCACACACGGUAGAGCGAGAGAGACAGCAAUGACGUGGUGCACAUAUCUGCACAUUUGUGAUGUAGUACGCAAUAUCCUGGGAGCCCUUUUGGCUCCUGAGCACUACUGGCUAAAAAGUAUACAAAAGUACCGGAGAAUAUCUUUAAGAGAUCAAUCUGCCAAGCCUUUCUUAAGUUGAUUCAAAUAUGAUUUGAGCUGAGUUUUUAUUAAAAACUGUAGAGACCUCAUUACAUUUAGGGUUGGGUAGGUUACUUUCUAAAUGUUACUAGUUGCCUGUCCAGAAUUGUAAUCAGUAACGUAACUUUUGGAUUACCCAAGAUCAGUAACAUAAUCGGAUUACUUUCCCCUUAAGAGGCAUUAGAAGAAGACGAAAAGGAUCCAUCAAACACAUUUGGUGUGUCAUCAUAGUGGUCUCGGACUUGUAGACCGACUCGCUAAGGUGGAACAAACUGAAACCUGCCCCUUUUUUUCAAUGGUUGAAUUGAAUGUCAUUGAGAAAACAUGGUGAAAUAUAAUACAUCUUUUUGCAAACAUCCUUUCUGAAUUGAGCAAUAUUUACAUUAAACAUUGACAUAAGCCAAAAUAUGUAUUAUUAUUCUAAGGUAUGACUGAAGUUCAGUAAUGUUGAAGGUGGGAAGAAAGGAUGCUUUCAACAUUAAAAAUGUUAAACUACAAAAAUAACAACAGAAAAGUUUGUAAGGGUGAAAAAACCUUUGUGUUUAUUUUUAAAAUGUCUUGUUCUUCUGAGACUUGAAAUGGAAUAUAGGUAAAAUCAUGCAAUGUAGAGCAUGGCUCAAACAUCAAAAGGUACAUUAAACAUGCUCUGUAUGUGUAUGUUUUA